GGUGGAUGCCCUGGCAGUCAGAGGCGAUGAAGGACGUGCUAAUCUGCGAUAAGCGUCGGUAAGGUGAUAUGAACCGUUAUAACCGGCGAUUUCCGAAUGGGGAAACCCAGUGUGUUUCGACACACUAUCAUUAACUGAAUCCAUAGGUUAAUGAGGCGAACCGGGGGAACUGAAACAUCUAAGUACCCCGAGGAAAAGAAAUCAACCGAGAUUCCCCCAGUAGCGGCGAGCGAACGGGGAGCAGCCCAGAGCCUGAAUCAGUGUGUGUGUUAGUGGAAGCGUCUGGAAAGGCGCGCGAUACAGGGUGACAGCCCCGUACACAAAAAUGCACAUGCUGUGAGCUCGAUGAGUAGGGCGGGACACGUGGUAUCCUGUCUGAAUAUGGGGGGACCAUCCUCCAAGGCUAAAUACUCCUGACUGACCGAUAGUGAACCAGUACCGUGAGGGAAAGGCGAAAAGAACCCCGGCGAGGGGAGUGAAAAAGAACCUGAAACCGUGUACGUACAAGCAGUGGGAGCACGCUUAGGCGUGUGACUGCGUACCUUUUGUAUAAUGGGUCAGCGACUUAUAUUCUGUAGCAAGGUUAACCGAAUAGGGGAGCCGAAGGGAAACCGAGUCUUAACUGGGCGUUAAGUUGCAGGGUAUAGACCCGAAACCCGGUGAUCUAGCCAUGGGCAGGUUGAAGGUUGGGUAACACUAACUGGAGGACCGAACCGACUAAUGUUGAAAAAUUAGCGGAUGACUUGUGGCUGGGGGUGAAAGGCCAAUCAAACCGGGAGAUAGCUGGUUCUCCCCGAAAGCUAUUUAGGUAGCGCCUCGUGAAUUCAUCUCCGGGGGUAGAGCACUGUUUCGGCAAGGGGGUCAUCCCGACUUACCAACCCGAUGCAAACUGCGAAUACCGGAGAAUGUUAUCACGGGAGACACACGGCGGGUGCUAACGUCCGUCGUGAAGAGGGAAACAACCCAGACCGCCAGCUAAGGUCCCAAAGUCAUGGUUAAGUGGGAAACGAUGUGGGAAGGCCCAGACAGCCAGGAUGUUGGCUUAGAAGCAGCCAUCAUUUAAAGAAAGCGUAAUAGCUCACUGGUCGAGUCGGCCUGCGCGGAAGAUGUAACGGGGCUAAACCAUGCACCGAAGCUGCGGCAGCGACGCUUAUGCGUUGUUGGGUAGGGGAGCGUUCUGUAAGCCUGCGAAGGUGUGCUGUGAGGCAUGCUGGAGGUAUCAGAAGUGCGAAUGCUGACAUAAGUAACGAUAAAGCGGGUGAAAAGCCCGCUCGCCGGAAGACCAAGGGUUCCUGUCCAACGUUAAUCGGGGCAGGGUGAGUCGACCCCUAAGGCGAGGCCGAAAGGCGUAGUCGAUGGGAAACAGGUUAAUAUUCCUGUACUUGGUGUUACUGCGAAGGGGGGACGGAGAAGGCUAUGUUGGCCGGGCGACGGUUGUCCCGGUUUAAGCGUGUAGGCUGGUUUUCCAGGCAAAUCCGGAAAAUCAAGGCUGAGGCGUGAUGACGAGGCACUACGGUGCUGAAGCAACAAAUGCCCUGCUUCCAGGAAAAGCCUCUAAGCAUCAGGUAACAUCAAAUCGUACCCCAAACCGACACAGGUGGUCAGGUAGAGAAUACCAAGGCGCUUGAGAGAACUCGGGUGAAGGAACUAGGCAAAAUGGUGCCGUAACUUCGGGAGAAGGCACGCUGAUAUGUAGGUGAGGUCCCUCGCGGAUGGAGCUGAAAUCAGUCGAAGAUACCAGCUGGCUGCAACUGUUUAUUAAAAACACAGCACUGUGCAAACACGAAAGUGGACGUAUACGGUGUGACGCCUGCCCGGUGCCGGAAGGUUAAUUGAUGGGGUUAGCCGCAAGGCGAAGCUCUUGAUCGAAGCCCCGGUAAACGGCGGCCGUAACUAUAACGGUCCUAAGGUAGCGAAAUUCCUUGUCGGGUAAGUUCCGACCUGCACGAAUGGCGUAAUGAUGGCCAGGCUGUCUCCACCCGAGACUCAGUGAAAUUGAACUCGCUGUGAAGAUGCAGUGUACCCGCGGCAAGACGGAAAGACCCCGUGAACCUUUACUAUAGCUUGACACUGAACAUUGAGCCUUGAUGUGUAGGAUAGGUGGGAGGCUUGGAAGUGUGGACGCCAGUCUGCAUGGAGCCGACCUUGAAAUACCACCCUUUAAUGUUUGAUGUUCUAACGUUGACCCGUAAUCCGGGUUGCGGACAGUGUCUGGUGGGUAGUUUGACUGGGGCGGUCUCCUCCUAAAGAGUAACGGAGGAGCACGAAGGUUGGCUAAUCCUGGUCGGACAUCAGGAGGUUAGUGCAAUGGCAUAAGCCAGCUUGACUGCGAGCGUGACGGCGCGAGCAGGUGCGAAAGCAGGUCAUAGUGAUCCGGUGGUUCUGAAUGGAAGGGCCAUCGCUCAACGGAUAAAAGGUACUCCGGGGAUAACAGGCUGAUACCGCCCAAGAGUUCAUAUCGACGGCGGUGUUUGGCACCUCGAUGUCGGCUCAUCACAUCCUGGGGCUGAAGUAGGUCCCAAGGGUAUGGCUGUUCGCCAUUUAAAGUGGUACGCGAGCUGGGUUUAGAACGUCGUGAGACAGUUCGGUCCCUAUCUGCCGUGGGCGCUGGAGAACUGAGGGGGGCUGCUCCUAGUACGAGAGGACCGGAGUGGACGCAUCACUGGUGUUCGGGUUGUCAUGCCAAUGGCACUGCCCGGUAGCUAAAUGCGGAAGAGAUAAGUGCUGAAAGCAUCUAAGCACGAAACUUGCCCCGAGAUGAGUUCUCCCUGACUCCUUGAGAGUCCUGAAGGAACGUUGAAGACGACGACGUUGAUAGGCCGGGUGUGUAAGCGCAGCGAUGCGUUGAGCUAACCGGUACUAAUGAACCGUGAGGCUUAACCU
rnacentral:rRNA from 1 species